AGCUUCACCCAGGAUAUGAUCAUUCAAAGAAUCUAGAGAGAUGCACCUACUUCGGUAUCUACCAUUGGAUUUUUCAAAUGAACAUACCAGCAUGGACUCUAGGCUCGAGGGCUUCAGUAGUCGAAGCAGGUGGGUUCAGUAGUGACACACAGUCUUAGUUGCCCUGGGACAGGUGGAAUCUUCCUGAACUAGGGACCGAACGCCUGCCCCGUUGCAUUGGCAGGCACAUUCUUAACCACUGGACCUCCAGGGAAUUGCUGGCCUGCUUGUCCUUGGGUGUGCAGUUCUCUGGGCUCUGAUACACGGAGAGAUUGCAGUGAUCACCACCGCGACCAGGACACAGGCCGAGUCCGUCACCCCAAAAACACCCAGCUGCUGCCCCUUUCUGGUGUCCUCUCCCACACCCCAAUCCCUGGCACAAGGAUCUGUCCUCCUCCACAGAGGACUUUGUCCUUUGCAAUUUUAAAAUUCCUUACGUAUUCUGAAUAUAAGACCUUUCUCGGAUCUGUCAUUCACGAACAUCUUUCCCCUAAUAACAAAUAGCUUCCCUUUUCGUUACAGGAGACAUGAGUGAUGAAAUCUUCUUUUCCUCCCCACACUCAGAGCCCAAUGUGGUGUAGCCAGCAAGUGCCCGUGAGAUUCUUCAGAAGUGAAAAUGAAUUCUGCUGUCUGUCAGUCAGUCUGUGCUAUCAGCUAGCCCCCAGAGCUGUAUUUCUGCAGAAAUCCACGAGUCUUCUGCAGACAGAGGCACUUGAGAACAGGUAUAUUUAUUGGAGUCUGAACUUGCGAUCUCAUCAGAGAGCUUCAGAGCUCAACCCAUCUUGCAGGACUUGUCUCCCAAGGGAGCUUUUCUUCUUGAAACUCAGAGGCGUGAAUUUAGUCAGUGUGGGCAUGUUUAGCAGGGCGAACAUGGCAUUUCAAGGUUGCUCAUCUUUUACCAGGUAUCAGACCACAUUCAAUGUAUUUCUUUCUGUCACCUUAUUUACUCCUCCUUCAAAGACCCGUCAUUUUGGACGAUUUCAGUCCUAAUUGAUGAGGUGAGAAAGCAGAAGACAGAGAAGUCAGGGGGAUUGCUCAGAGUCAUAUAGGCCGCCAGAGGAAAAGUGACCCACAAACCUUGGCAUCCUCCAUUCAGAGCCCCCACUCUUUAUUUCUUCAGUAAAGUUGCCAUGCGUGCGUGCAUGCCAAGUCACAUCAGUCAUGUCCAACUCUUUGCGACCACAUGCCUGUUGCCCGCCAGGCUCCUCUGUCCAUGGGAUUCUCCA